rnacentral:rRNA from 1 species
CAGCAGCCGCGGUAAAACGGAGGGUGCAAGCGUUAAUCGGAAUUACUGGGCGUAAAGCGCACGCAGGCGGUCUGUCAAGUCAGAUGUGAAAUCCCCGGGCUUAACCUGGGAACUGCAUUUGAAACUGGCAGGCUAGAGUCUUGUAGAGGGGGGUAGAAUUCCAGGUGUAGCGGUGAAAUGCGUAGAGAUCUGGAGGAAUACCGGUGGCGAAGGCGGCCCCCUGGACAAAGACUGACGCUCAGGUGCGAAAGCGUGGGGAGCAAACAGGAUUAGAUACCCCAGUAGUCCCUGUCUCUUAUAA